UGUUUGAGUGCGGCAGAAUGAACGCCACACCUAUACGAACAGCAACGUGUCAGCAGCAAUUAAAAAGAUCCAGCUACCGCAUGAAUGUGAAAUCUGUCUCUUCCGCUGGAUUUAUCUGUCCGCUUAUUAGACCGCAGACGAUUUCAGGUCCUGUGCGGCUCUGUGUGCGGGCGGCGCCGUCAGGUGCCGUGACCUGCGUCCUGUUUAGACGUCACGCAAAGAGACAGCGGCUACUGGUAAACAAACCCCACCGCAACAGCUGCCCCUUUCAAUGACCCGAGACAGGCAGAAGCGGAUACAGCGGUGGAAUAAGAAUUUAACACACCGCAUCGAGUUUUUAAGUUUUCCCACCUAAAAAUACGGAGAGAGUCUUGCCCUGGUGACGGACGGGCCGCUGUCCAGGUACCACACAAGAUGAGCGCAUUUUCCUCCUCUACACUCAUCGGAGGUUGAACUUUUGUAACCCCAGAUGCAAAAGUUCAAAACUUCACUUGUCUCAGUUUUGUCGCAGUAGAGCAGGUCAAUCAAUAGUGUACUCUUCAAAUUAGAAAAUACACCCUGUCAAAUUAGAAAAAAUAAAUAAAUAUUCACAUGUAUCUCAUA